GUAUCUAAGAGAGAAUUAUGAAAGUGUGGGUAAUGUUGUAGAAGAUCCAUAUGUGGAUGUGGGUAAUGUUGUAGAAGAUCCAUAUGUGGAUAUGGUGAACGAUGCAUUUCGUUAUAACGUGGGGUUUGAU
rnacentral:sRNA from 1 species